AUUGAACGCUGGCGGCAGGCCUAACACAUGCAAGUCGAACGAGUGGCGGACGGGUGAGUAAUGUCUGGGAAACUGCCUGAUGGAGGGGGAUAACUACUGGAAACGGUAGCUAAUACCGCAUAACAUCAGAUGUGCCCAGAUGGGAUUUGCUUGUUGGUGGGGUAACGGCUCACCAAGGCGACGAUCCCUAGCUGGUCGGAGAGGAUGACCAGGCACACUGGAACUGGGCCACGGUCCAGACUCCUACGGGAGGCAGCAGUGGGGAAUAUUGCACAAUGGGCGCAAGCCGGAUGCAGCCAUGCCGGGUGUAUGUAGAGGGCCUUCGGGUUUUAAAGUACUUUCAGCGGGGAGGCGUUACCCGCAGAAGAAGCACCGGCUAACUCCGUGCCAGCCGCCGCGGUAAUAC
rnacentral:rRNA from 1 species